GAUGAACGCUGGCGGCGUGCCUAAUACAUGCAAGUUGAGCGAACAGGCGAGGAGCUUGCUCCUCUUGCGUUAGCGGCGGACGGGUGAGUAACACGUGGAUAAUCUACCUAUAAGACGGGGAUAACAUUGGGAAACCAAUGCUAAUACCGCAUAAUAUCUUGAAACGCAAGGUUCAAUAUUGAAAGAUGCUUUUGCAUCAACUUAUAGAUAUCUCCGCUCGUAUUUAGUUAGUUGGUAAGGUAACGGUAUACAAAGGGAAGGAAGAGUGACCGACCGGAGAGGGGGAUCGGCCACAAUGGAACUGAGACACGGUCCAUACCCCUACGGGAGGCAGCGGUGGGGAAUCUUCCACAUUGGGCGAAAGCUUGACGGGGCAACGCCGCGGGAGUGAGGAAGGUCUUCGGUUAGAAAACCUCUGUGAUAAGGGAAGAACAAAGUUAGAAUGAAAAGUGCACCUAUUGACGGUACCUAAUCAGAAAGCGACGGCUAACUACGUG
rnacentral:rRNA from 1 species